UACAGAGGUCUCAAGCGUUGUUCGGAUUCAUUGGGCGUAAAGGGUGUGUAGGUGGCGCGGUAAGUCGGGUGUGAAAUUUCGAGGCUUAACUUCGAAACUGCAUUCGAUACUGCCGUGCUUGAGGACUGGAGAGGAGACUGGAAUUUACGGUGUAGCGGUGAAAUGCGUAGAUAUCGUAAGGAAGACCAGUGGCGAAGGCGGGUCUCUGGACAGUUCCUGACGCUGAGGCACGAAGGCCAGGGGAGCAAACGGG
rnacentral:rRNA from 1 species